UACGAAGGGGGCUAGCGUUGCUCGGAAUUACUGGGCGUAAAGGGUUCGUAGGUGGCCACUUAAGUCAGACGUGAAAUCCCUCAGCUUAACUGGGGAACUGCGUCUGAUACUGGAUGGCUUGAGUUUGGGAGAGGGAUGCGGAAUUCCAGGUGUAGCGGUGAAAUGCGUAGAUAUCUGGAGGAACACCGGUGGCGAAGGCGGCAUCCUGGACCAACACUGACACUGAGGAGCGAAAGCCAGGGGAGCAAACGGG
rnacentral:rRNA from 1 species